CUACGGGGCGCUGCAGUGAGGAAUAUUGCACAAUGGGGGGAACCCUGAUGCAGCAACGCCGCGUGGAGGAUGACGCAUUUCGGUGUGUAAACUCCUUUUAUAUGUCAAGAAAAUGACGGUAGCAUUUGAAUAAGCACCGGCUAACUCCGUGCCAGCAGCCGCGGUAAUACGGAGGGUGCAAGCGUUACUCGGAAUCACUGGGCGUAAAGGACGCGUAGGCGGGUUGGAAAGUCAGGUGUGAAAUCCUACAGCUUAAAUGUAGAACUGCACUUGAAACUUCUAAUCUAGAGUAUGGGAGGGGGAGAUGGAAUUAGUGGUGUAGGGGUAAAAUCCGUAGAUAUCACUAGGAAUACCUAAAGCGAAGGCGAUCUCCUGGAACAUUACUGACGCUAAGGCGUGAAAGCGUGGGGAGCAAACAGGAUUAGAUACCCCCGUAGUC
rnacentral:rRNA from 1 species